AUUGAACGCUGGCGGCAGGCUUAACACAUGCAAGUCGAGCGGGGACUUCGGUCCUAGCGGCGAACGGGUGAGGAAUGCUUGGGAAUCUGCCCAGUAGCGGGGGAUAACGUUUCGAAAGGAACGCUAAUACCGCAUACGCCCUACGGGGGAAAGGGGGAGAUCUUCGGACCUCUCACUAUUGGAUGAGCCCAAGUCGGAUUAGCUAGUUGGUGGGGUAAAGGCCUACCAAGGCGACGAUCCGUAGCUGGUCUGAGAGGAUGAUCAGCCAAACUGGAACUGAGACACGGUCCAGACUCCUACGGGAGGCAGCAGCGGGGAAUAUUGGACAAUGGGCGAAAGCCUGAUCCAGCCAUGCCGCGUGUGUGAAGAAGGCCUUCGGGUUGUAAAGCACUUUAAGCGAGGAGGAAUGGCUCUGGGUUAAUACCCUUGAGCAGUGACGUUACUCGCAGAAUAAGCACCGGCUAACUCUGUGCCAGCAGCCGCCGUAAAAC
rnacentral:rRNA from 1 species